rnacentral:rRNA from 1 species
UACGUAGGGGGCAAGCGUUGUCCGGAAUUAUUGGGCGUAAAGAGCUCGUAGGCGGUCUGUCGCGUCUGCUGUGAAAACUCGGGGCUUAACCCCGGGCCUGCAGUGGGUACGGGCAGACUAGAGUGCGGUAGGGGAGACUGGAAUUCCUGGUGUAGCGGUGAAAUGCGCAGAUAUCAGGAGGAACACCGGUGGCGAAGGCGGGUCUCUGGGCAACAACUGACGCUGAGGAGCGAAAGCAUGGGGAGCGAACAGG